AUUGAACGCUGGCGGCAUGCCUUACACAUGCAAGUCGAACGGUAACAGGUCUUCGGAUGCUGACGAGUGGCGAACGGGUGAGUAAUACAUCGGAACGUGCCCGAUCGUGGGGGAUAACGAAGCGAAAGCUUUGCUAAUACCGCAUACGAUCUACGGAUGAAAGCAGGGGACCGCAAGGCCUUGCGCGAACGGAGCGGCCGAUGGCAGAUUAGGUAGUCGGUGGGAUAAAAGCUUACCAAGCCGACGAUCUGUAGCUGGUCUGAGAGGACGACCAGCCACACUGGGACUGAGACACGGCCCAGACUCCUACGGGAGGCAGCAGUGGGGAAUUUUGGACAAUGGGCGAAAGCCUGAUCCAGUCAUGCCGCGUGCAGGAUGAAGGCCUUCGGGUUGUAAACUGCUUUUGUACGGAACGAAAAGACUCUGGUUAAUACCUGGGGUCCAUGACGGUACCGUAAGAAUAAGCACCGGCUAACUACGUG
rnacentral:rRNA from 1 species